GACGAACGCUGGCGGCGUGCUUAACACAUGCAAGUCGAACGGAAAGGCCCUGCUUUUGUGGGGUGCUCGAGUGGCGAACGGGUGAGUAACACGUGAGUAACCUGCCCUUGACUUUGGGAUAACUUAAGGACACUGGGGCUAAUACCGGAUAGGAGCUCCUGCUGCGUGGUGGGGGUUGGAAAGGUUCGGCGGUUGGGGAGGGCCUCGCGGCUUAUCAGCUCGUUGGUGGGGUAGUGGCGUACCAAGGCUUUGACGGGUAGCCGGCCUGAGAGGGUGACCGGCCACAUUGGGACUGAGAUGCGGCCCAGACUCCUACGGGAUGCAGCAGUGGGGAAUAUUGCACAAUGGGCGGAAGCCUGAUGCAGCAACGCCGCGUGCGGGAUGACGGCCUUCGGGUUGUAAACCGCUUUCGCCUGUGACGAAGCGUGAGUGACGGUAAUGGGUAAAGAAGCACCGGCUAACUACGUG
rnacentral:rRNA from 1 species